UGGGGAAUAUUGGACAAUGGGGGCAACCCUGAUCCAGCAAUACCGCGUGUGUGAAGAAGGCCUGAGGGUUGUAAAGCACUUUCAAUUGUGAAGAAAAGUUAACGGUUAAUAACCGUUAGCCUUGACGUUAACUUUAGAAGAAGCACCGGCUAACUCCGUGCCAGCAGCCGCGGUAAUACGGAGGGUGCAAGCGUUAAUCGGAAUUACUGGGCGUAAAGCGUGCGUAGGCGGUUUAUUAAGUCAGAUGUGAAAGCCCCGGGCUUAACCUGGGAACUGCAUUUGAAACUGGUAAACUAGAGUAUGGUAGAGGAAAGUGGAAUUUCUGGUGUAGCGGUGAAAUGCGUAGAUAUCAGAAGGAACAUCAAUGGCGAAGGCAGCUUUCUGGACCAAUACUGACGCUGAGGUACGAAAGCGUGGGUAGCAAACAGGAUUAGAUACCCUGGUAGUCCACGCCGUAAACGAUGAUAACUAGCCGUUGGGGGGAUUUACCCUUUAGUGGCGAAGCUAAC
rnacentral:rRNA from 1 species